AUGUGCAUCCAGUUGAGAAUGGAGAAGCCAAUGGCCAGCGGCGAACUAAAUCAGUGGAUGACCAUCCAUUUCUUGCCUAGAACAUUGGAGCUUGAUUGCAGACUUGACAAGCUCAUAGCACUACGGGAGUUCUUGCUGCCAUUCUAUUGCCAGUCAUGCAAGUCCACGAGGAGCGGAAAAAUCUGUGUGUGGGGCGAACCUGAUGAUCUAGGGAGCUUCACAGUCGUCCAGGAAGGCUAUGGGACUUCAGCUUCCAAUCAAGACACUUUUCAAGGAGGGAGGAGUUUCAUCACCAGUGUCGUUGUCAUCGUCAUGCAGGGCUCCAUCAACCACAAGUACUACCUCAACUUCGAUCAAGACUAUGUUGGCAACGGCCACUUCCGCGCUGCCUCUUGGGAUGGAGUCACCAUCGGCCACGACUACUGCAACCUUGUCGUUCAAGUCAACCCCGACUUCAACUACCAUCAUGACUUCAAGCUGGUCAAGGAACACCGAGUGCAAUGGGAUCCCGGUGGUUCUCGGUGGUGUCGGCUUGGGGUCAAGCCGCAUUUCAAGGAGGGGGGUGUUAGGAGCCCUCCUACCAUCACGUGUUUGGGUUGGCCCCUUGGGCCAGCUGGACCUGGCCCGUUCGGGAACCACGAAGGCGAUAAGAGUCUGGGAGGAAGCGACGUCGAGAGUAUCCAGUGGAUCACGAACGGCAAUGGCACUGCGGCUACCUUCCUCUCUUCUCCUACCCCUGCUCCUCUCUGUAAUAGCUCAGUUCAUCUAUAA
rnacentral:rRNA from 1 species